UCAACGGUGUCGGAUUUAUUGGGUUUAAGGGUGCGUAGGCGGCCCUGUAAGUCAGUGGUGAAAUACGGCAGCUCAACUGUCGAGGUGCCAUUGAUACUGCAGGGCUAGAGUACUGAUGAGGUAGGCGGAAUGGACGGUGUAGCGGUGAAAUGCUUAGAUAUCGUCCAGAACACCGAUAGCGAAGGCAGCUUACUAAAGAGUAACUGACGCUGAGGCACGAAAGUGUGGGGAUCAAACAGGAUUAGAUACCCUGGUAGUCCACACUGUAAACGUUGAUCACUAGAUGUUGGCGAUACACUGCCAGCGUUCCAGCAAAAGCGAUAAGUGAUCCACCUGGGGAGUACGCCCGCAAGGGUGAAACUCAAAGGAAUUGACGGGGGUCCGCACAAGCGGUGGA
rnacentral:rRNA from 1 species